ACUAUUUUGGCAGAUUAGUGCAAUAAAUUUAGAAUUUAUAAAUAUAAUUUAAUAAAUUAUAAAUAGUA
rnacentral:tRNA from 1 species